GAUGAACGCUGGCGGCGAGCCUAAUACAUGCAAGUCGAGCGAACAGACGAGGAGCUUGCUCCUCUGACGUUAGCGGCGGACGGGUGAGUAACACGUGGAUAACCUACCUAUAAGACUGGGAUAACUUCGGGAAACCGGAGCUAAUACCGGAUAAUAUAUUGAACCGCAUGGUUCAAUAGUGAAAGACGGUUUUGCUGUCACUUAUAGAUGGAUCCGCGCCGCAUUAGCUAGUUGGUAAGGUAACGGCUUACCAAGGCAACGAUGCGUAGCCGACCUGAGAGGGUGAUCGGCCACCCUGGAACUGAGACACGGUCCAGACUCCUGCGGGAGGCAGCAGUAGGGAAUCUUCCGCAAUGGGCGAAAGCCUGACGGAGCAACGCCGCGUGAGUGAUGAAGGUCUUCGGAUCGUAGAACUCUGUUAGUAGGGAAGAACAAAUGUGUAAGUAACUAUGCACGUCUUGACGGUACCUAGUCAGAAAGCCACGGCUAACUACGUG
rnacentral:rRNA from 1 species